rnacentral:rRNA from 1 species
UUCCGGUUGAUCCUGCCGGAGGCUACUGCUAUCGGGGUUCGAUUAAGCCAUGCGAGUUAAAUGUUCUUCGUGAACAUAGCGAACUGCUCAGUAACACGUGGAUAACCUACCCUUAGGACCGGAAUAACCCCGGGAAACUGGGGAUAAUACCGGAUAAGCCAUAGACGCUGGAAUGCCCUAUGGUUCAAAGCUCCGGCGCCUAAGGAUGGAUCUGCGGUCUAUCAGGUUGUAGUGGGUGUAACGUACCUACUAGCCGACGACGGAUACGGGUUGUGAGAGCAAGAGCCCGGAGAUGGAUUCUGAGACACGAAUCCAGGCCCUACGGGGUGCAGCAGGCGCGAACACUUUACAAUGCGGGAAACCGCGAUAAGGGAACCCCGAGUGCCAGCAUCAAAUGUUGGCUGUCCGGAUGAUUAAAAAUCAUUUGUUAGCAAGGGCCGGGCAAGACCGGUGCCAGCCGCCGCGGUAACACCGGCGGCCCGAGUGGUAGCCGUUUUUAUUGGGUCUAAAGGGUCCGUAGCCGGCCUGAUAAGUCUUUUGGGAAAUCUGGCAGCUUAACUGUCAGGCUUCUAAGGGAUACUGUCAGGCUUGGGACCGGAAGAGGUAAGGGGUACUCCAGGGGUAGGAGUGAAAUCUUGUAAUCCCUGGGGGACCAUCUGUGGCGAAGGCGCCUUACCAGAACGGGUCCGACGGUGAGGGACGAAAGCUAGGGGAGCAAACCGGAUUAGAUACCCGGGUAGUCCUAGCUGUAAACGAUGCUCGCUAGGUGUCAGACACGGUGCGACCGUGUUUGGUGCCGCAGGGAAGCCGUUAAGCGAGCCACCUGGGAAGUACGGUCGCAAGGCUGAAACUUAAAGGAAUUGGCGGGGGAGCACUACAACGGGUGGAGCCUGCGGGUUUAAUUGGAUUCAACGCCGGAAAUCGUCGA